rnacentral:lncRNA from 1 species
GUUGUACCCUCUUUCUCUCACCAUUCUCUCCAUUUCCAUACCCUGUUUCUCUCACCAUUUUGUCCGUUUCAGGUACAAGGUAAAAACAAAAUCAAAAUCAGUUUUUACUUCUCUUUUAAAACCCUAGAUGAAUGACCUUCAAAUGUGUCACCGAUUUGUACACUGUAGCCACCAGCACCAACCCUAAGUUGAUCGCCUAUGAAGAACGUUACCUGCUUCAGCCUUCUAGAUUCAUGGUGGUUCUAGGGCGGCGUCGCGUAAAUUAAUACCGAGUGUCGUUUGAUGGUUACCCCAAAAUCAUCGAUGAAAUUGCAGGUUUCAGUAGGCAUAAUAUCAGAUCUCCAAAGCAAUCGUUUCUCUUCACUGCUGUAAUUCGAUCAAUACUAUUAUAAUUGUUAUGCCCCUUGCCUUGCUAACAUCAAAGACAUGGCCUUUUGUUGUGGGCAUCAGGUGGAAAGCUUUUUAAAUUGUGCUGAUUUAAAGUGGAGAGCAUGAUUAAUGAAGAAGCUGAAAAGAUAGUCUUUUAAAAGCUGCUGACAAUGAAGAACAGGUAGGUUGAACCCAAAAUAGGCCCUCGUCCAUCUUUUGCACAACUUGUCUACAUAUCACUCUACGUGUUAGUAUGCUAAGUUAUGAUAAAUUUUAAACAGCACAACAUUUUGUAUAGCUUAGUUUUGUACAACUUUCAUAUAUAAGUUAAUUAGGCGAUGUAGCUAUGGAACAUCGGUGUAACAAAUACUUGGUUUUAUUUAGUACGGCUAUGAAUGAAUGCCCGCCACAUUGCGGCGGGUGAUAAAUCCUAGU